rnacentral:lncRNA from 1 species
AUUAAGAUUAGGAUCUUAGAUCUGAAAAUAAUUGAUCAUGUUUGCUGAUUUUCAUGGUUUUGAUGCUGUGAUGGCUGAUUACAUGCAAUCAAAAUCAUGAUCCCUACUAUCAAUAGAUCAUGUAAAAGCAUGCAAGUCAAUUAUAUUCAGAUCUAAAAUUUAUUUUUCAUGUAUUGGAUGCAUGAGGUGAUGAUCAUGGAUAGACCUUUGUAGGUCUGUGAUGUGCUCUGCGAUGAGAUCAUGGUGCCUGUGCGCAUCAUAUGAUG